rnacentral:rRNA from 1 species
GACGGAAGGUGCAAGCGUUGCUCGGAAUCACUGGGCGUAAAGGGUGCGUAGGCGGCUUGGUGGGUCUGGUGUGAAAGCCCCGGGCUCAGCCCGGGAAGGGCACUAGAAACUGCCGAGCUGGAGUGCCGGAGGGGAGAGUGGAAUUCCUGGUGUAGCGGUGAAAUGCGUAGAUAUCAGGAGGAAUACCAAUAGCGAAGGCAGCUCGCUGGGACGGUACUGACGCUAAGGCGCGAAAGCGUGGGGAGCGAACAGG